rnacentral:rRNA from 1 species
UACAGAGGUCUCAAGCGUUGUUCGGAUUCAUUGGGCGUAAAGGGUGCGUAGGCGGCGCGGUAAGUCGGGUGUGAAAUCUCGGAGCUUAAGCCUCGAAACUGCAUUCGAUACUGCCGUGCUUGAGGACUGGAGAGGAGACUGGAAUUUACGGUGUAGCGGUGAAAUGCGUAGAUAUCGUAAGGAAGACCAGUGGCGAAGGCGGGUCUCUGGACAGUUCCUGACGCUGAGGCACGAAGGUCAGGGGAGCAAACGGG